rnacentral:tRNA from 1 species
CAGAAGAUAGUUUAAUAAAAAUAUUAAUUUUGGGAAUUAUUGAUAGGGGUAACCUCUUCUUCUGA